AGGGCACCACCAGGAGUGGAGCCUGCGGCUUAAUUUGACUCAACACGGGAAAUCUCACCAGGCCCGGACACCGGAAGGAUUGACAGAUUGAGAGCUCUUUCUUGAUUCGGUGGGUGGUGGUGCAUGGCCGUUCUUAGUUGGUGGAGCGAUUUGUCUGGUUAAUUCCGAUAACGAACGAGACUCUGGCCUACUAACUAGACGUUGGAUCCCUUUGUGGGUCCAUCGCAGCUUCUUAGAGGGGCGGGCGGCGUUUAGCCGCACGAGAUUGAGCAAUAACAGGUCUGUGAUGCCCUUAGAUGUUCUGGACUGCACGCGCGCUACACUGAAGGAAUCAGCGUGUGUUCCCUAUCCGAAAGGAUUGGGAAACCCGUUGAACCUCCUUCGUGAUGGGGAUUGGGGAUUGCAAUUAUUCCCCAUGAACGAGGAAUCCCCAGUAGGCGCGAGUCAUAAGCUUGCGUCGAUUACGUCCCUGCCCUUUGUACACACCGCCCGUCGCUACUACCGAUCGAGUGAUUUAGU
rnacentral:rRNA from 1 species